rnacentral:rRNA from 1 species
AUUGAACGCUGGCGGAAUGCUUUACGCAUGCAAGUCGAACGGCAGCACGGGGCAACCUGGUGGCGAGUGGCGAACGGGUGAGUAAUACAUCGGAACGUGCCCAAUCGUGGGGGAUAACGUAGCGAAAGUUACGCUAAUACCGCAUACGAUCUACGGAUGAAAGCGGGGGAUCGCAAGACCUCGCGCGAAUGGAGCGGCCGAUGUCAGAUUAGGUAGUUGGUGGGGUAAAGGCUCACCAAGCCGACGAUCUGUAGCUGGUCUGAGAGGACAACCAGCCACACUGGGACUGAGACACGGCCCAGACUCCUACGGAGGCAGCAGUGGGAAUUUUGGACAAUGGCGCAAGCCUGAUCCAGCCAUUCCGCGUGCAGGAUGAAG